rnacentral:lncRNA from 1 species
CCACGUCAAUUGAAAUAAUAUGAAAAUUUUAUGAGCAAUCAGUUUCUUCCAAUAUAUCAUAUUUACAUUUUAUAUUAUUAUACUAUAUUAUAAAGCAGGCAAAACUAAUCAUUUUCUCAAUGCAAGCUCUAGAUUGUUUGCAAUCAAAAUAGUGGACCCUUUAAUAAUAUAAAAUAACGUAAAGUAGCACCUGUCAAUUCAAACUUUAUUUUGAUUUAACACAUAUAUAAUAUAUAAUGGUCAUGUAUUAAAAUAUUUUUUGUUAAAUACUAAAGCAACUAUAUUUGACUUUUCAAAAGAUGAAUUCUGCCAAUAUUCAAAAACUUCAUUUAAUAGGAUGAUCAUGCUAGCAAGACACAAAAUUAGGGCGAUAAUGGGGGAGACAGGGGAUUAAACCGAAAUCCGCAAAGAAAAUGAAACCUCACAUUUUAAAAACAACUCCAAUAUAUACAAACAUGAUUAAAAGAAACAAUUGUUAGCUAAGAAAUAAACGAAUGAAGUAUAUAUCACUAGAACAAAUCCCGAACAAAUAAACAUGCACAUAGAUAAACCAGCUAAAGAUCAAAAUAAGCAGAACUAGAAUCCUACACUAAACUAAAGUAGUAGGAACAUUCAUAUACGAAGUAGUAGGAGCAUUCAUAUAUGUUUAGGAGAGACUGCCAAAGAGUAGCCAUAUUUUGAGAUAUAGACAAGCUUAGCAAGGAAGAGGAAAAAGCAUUUUUUCAAGGAACAUACAA